rnacentral:sRNA from 1 species
GGUGCAGCAAUGCCGGGUCUACCGUGGGGGUAAGUGGCCUCAUGGAGCAGUGGGUGUACCAGACCAAGAAGGCAUCUCAGAUGCAGACUUUGUUCUUUACGUUGGUGCUCUGGCCACCGAGAGAUGCAGCCAUGAAAACAUCAUCUCUUAUGCAGCCUAUUGUCAGCAGGAAGCAAACAUGGACAGGCCAAUAGCAGGAUAUGCUAACCUGUGUCCAAAUAUGAUCUCUACCCAGCCUCAGGAGUUUGUUGGGAUGCUGUCCACAGUGAAACAUGAGGUUAUUCAUGCCCUGGGUUUCUCUGCUGGGCUGUUUGCAUUCUACCAUGAUAAAGAUGGAAAUCCUCUCACUUCAAGAUUUGCAGAUGGCCUCCCACCUUUUAAUUAUAGUCUGGGAUUAUAUCAGUGGAGUGAUAAAGUAGUUCGAAAAGUGGAGAGAUUAUGGGAUGUUCGAGAUAAUAAGAUAGUUCGUCACACUGUGUAUCUCCUGGUAACGCCUCGUGUUGUUGAGGAAGCACGAAAACAUUUUGAUUGUCCAGUUCUAGAGGGAAUGGAACUUGAAAAUCAAGGUGGUAUGGGCACUGAGCUCAACCAUUGGGAAAAAAGGUUAUUAGAGAAUGAAGCGAUGACUGGUUCUCACACUCAGA